rnacentral:rRNA from 1 species
CGGACGAUGUCGGAUUUUGGGUUUAAGGGAGCGUAGGCGGUCUAAUAAGUCUGAGGUGAAGGUUGUGGCUUAACUGAUAAUUCUCUUUAAACCGGUUAACCUUGAUGCUCUAUGGGAUAGUGGAAAUCCGGUUGUACCGUUAAAAUGCUAAAAUAUGGACGAACACCCGAUGGCAAAGGCGCUCUCUGGCUUGACACUGACCCUUAAGCUCCAAAGCGUGGGGAGCAAACAGGAUUAAAUACCCUGGUAGUCCAACCCGUAAACCAUGAGUGCCAAGUGUUAGACCCUUUUCGGGGUUUAGUGCCGCAACUGAUGCAUUACCCACUCCGCCGGGGGACUACGACCUGUGGGUUUAAAUGAAUGG